CUUCCUGCCAUGUGGUGACAGAUUAAAAGCUGCUAUACAUUUUGGAACUGGAAACUGAGCUCCCAAUGUAAAGAAGAUAAGCCAUCAUGCUUACAAUAUGUUGUGCAGAGCUCACUGGUGGGCAGUUUUUCUUAACAAUGCAUCAGGACUUUUGUUAUUUGUAAAGGAAGCUUAAAGGAAGCUGAGAGUGCUGAGGGCACAUCUGAAACCACUGGAGGUUGGCGACGUGAAGGUCAGGUAGUUCUGCACCCCUGGAGAGAGCAGUCAUUAUGCAGGACAACCCAUCUGCUCAGAACUUUCGGUGGUGGCUUGUGCUGUGACUCCGGUCCCAUUCAUCUAUGUGCUGCUGUAGGCUUAGCUUCCCACAGCCUCUCCAGCUUUGCCAUUUGUCAUUAUCAUUCACUCUUAAUAUUUCUUCUAUCUAUGACCCUAAUGCACGGAGUGAUAGCUGAUAGUCUCUUAAAACAACUUUUACAAUUAUUUUGACAGUUUACUGUGUUUUGUUCUCUCAACAAUACUUAGAAUUUGUCUGAGUUAUAGUUGCAUAGAUGGCAAUUUUCCUGACCUAGUUUUCUGACUAUGAUUUAUGGGUCAGUAAACUCCUUAAAUGAUGGAAUAUAACAUCUCAGGCCACAGGGAACACUUACUAUCCACCUGCUCACUGUUGCAGGACGGAUUCGUGGCCAGCCUCAGGUUGCUAAACGUUAGGGUGAUCUGCCUUCCUUCUGGGGCGGUGAUUCUCCACUCGUAGAUCCGGCCAUGAGGAUUUAGGUUCGGGUAGUUGGGAGAAGUAGAUGUUCCAGCAGAGCCCUGAAGAUCCCCAUCACACUCUGAUGUGGGGGAAAAAAGCCAAGAAAACUUCCAAUCAAAUCAAAAUGUCUCCUUCCAUCAGGAAAGCUCUCAAAAUUCAGGUGUCCUGCGUGUACAAAGAAAAUAAUAAAAAACAAGACCUUGCCCAUGAAGAAAUGUUAAUCUCUGUCAAGAAAACAGGAAAACAUGAAUGAAAAUUAACAUAUUCAAGUAUAUGAAGAAGUGAAAAAAAUGCAACCAGUUAGGGGAAGGAUAUCUCAGGAUAAUGAGGAAGGCUAGUUUUUUGGUUGAAAAAGUGGUCUGAGACAACAGAGUGACAAAUAUCUGCCUUAUGCUACUGCCAGGAGACAUGCAUGACCCUCUCCCUGCCUCGAGCUAUAGAACAUCCCUCAAAUAACGGCAUGUGGCAAUGGGAUAUCUCAGCAGCAACAGGGUGUCUUCCCACUACCGUUGCUCCCCCCAAGUGGCCUCCAGGGUAGACUAUAUGACACCUGGGCUCUGGACAUCCAUUGUUAAUGGUAGAAUUGAGGGAGAGAAUCGCUGGUACUGCCCAAAGCGCGUUAAUCUGCACUUCUUUGCAGAGUAUAGACAGGCUUUGCCUUUCUUGGAAGUGAAGAAACUUCAGAGGCUGAAUAAGUACAUGCGAAAAUAAACACCCCAAAGAGAGCAGAUAUAUUUCACUAACCAGAAGUAUGAUAGUCCCACAUCUCCACAAAGUCUUUUUCACAGUCAGAGGAAUUCUGAAAGUUAAAAUCUUCAAAAGAGAUGGUGAGAUAGUGUCUGGAGAGCCCCUGGAGAUGCCAAUCACAGAAUAAGUUGUCUCUAUAUGGAAACGUUAGAUGGCCAAUGCUUUCAACAACACCAUUUUGCCCUAUUACUCUUCCCCCACACUGAGCUGAAAAAUAAAAGGAAAAAAAGAAAAAGAAAGAAAGAAAGAAAGAAAGAAAGAAAGAAAGAAAGAAAGAAAGAAAAGAAAGAAAGGAUUCUAUUACAAAUUGUGUUUUUUUCAUUUCACCAGCACAUGUGAAAACUUUUAGGUGCCAAGUGACUAUGAAUUGAAGUUUUUAAAAUUCUGAAAAUGGUUAGUGCUUUCCUCAUUAUUUGAAUUCUAGGGUUGAUGUAAACAGAAGUGAUACCACAAGUCCAAUCCAAUAAUGGGAAACAAGAUGACAACGAAAUGGCAUAUUCUGUAAUGUCACAUUAAUUCUUUCGGGACACUAUGUAAGAGCUGUCAGUUGCAAGCAAGUUUCAUCUCAAGAAUAAACUGGUAGACUCAUCUGACCUGCCUAGAACCUUGUGUUGAUUCUAAAGACUGAACCCAAGCUCAGCUGGAAGGGGGGACACCUGCCAUUUCUAGUUUUACUAUCAACUAAACUGUUCACUACAGUAACUGAUAUCUCAGGGCAUUGAAAAUUACUAUUCAAUUAUGUCUUAUUAGCUGGAUGUGGUAGCUAAUUGAAUUAUAUACAGCUUGACCAGGGAUAUAACAUGAUCUACGGUGUAGUUAAAUACUGUUACAACUAGGCUUUCUGAACUUUUGCUAUAUUAAAUAUUUGUUUGGUUUGUGUCUAGACCUAUUAGAUACUAAAUUAUGUGCUAUUGUGACCAUACUAUAGUGAAUCUUCAACAAGCAAAGUUACCGCUCAAUUUUUAAGUAAGGAAAUCAAAAUCCUGAAGCGACAUAUUUGCUUUUUAUCCAGUGACUGAUUUGGCACUAGAGACUCAGAGAAAAAAAAAAGCUUAUUCAUUUUCUAUAUGAUGAGGAAUUCAAAGACAUUGUUCUAAAUAUGGUUAUCUGGUUCUUAAAUAGUUUUAUUACUUAAAGUAAUAAACAUACUGUAGUUCUUCCUUUUCCUUGGGGGAUACAUUCCAAGUCCCCCCAGUGAGUGCCUAAAACCUCGGAUAGUACCAAACCCUAUAUAGACAUAUAGACAAUUUUUUUCUACAUAUAUGUACCUAUGAUAAAGCUUACUUUAUCAAUUAAACAUAGUAAGAGAUUAACAACAAUAACUAAUAAUAAAAUAGAACAAUCAUAACAGUAUACUAUAAGAAAAGUUAUGUAAAUGUGGUCUCUCAAAAUAUCUUGGUGUACUGUACUCACCUAUUUUUUGGGCCUCUGUUUACCAAGGGUGUUGAAACCAUGGAACAUGAAACCAUGGAUAAGAGAGAACUACUGAAUUUCAUAGUAAGCAGAAGAAACAAGAGUUUGAUUUAACUACACAUAUUUCUUCACAAAUAAGUUAGAAAAAACAUAAAAUAUUCAAGUUUACUAAGAUUACAUUUUAAAAUAAAAGUUAAAAGAGAAAUUAAAGUUGAUGACUGUGAUUUUAAACAUUUACACUCUUUACUUAUUUCUAGCAUUAAAAUAUUUUUUAAGUUAGGCAGAAUGACUUUUUAAAAAGUCAUGGUUUUAAAAAAAGUUUUAACAUAUUCAUUCUGUAACAACUCUUUUAUUUAAUAUAAAAAUGUUUUCCAGGGUUUUUAUAGUUUUGUGUUUUACAGUUAAGUCUUCAGUAUAUCUUGAAUUGAUUUUUGUAUAUGGUAUAAGGAAGGGGUCCAGUUUCAAUCUUCCACAUAUUGCUAGCCAGUUCUCCCAGCAUCAUUUAUUGGAUAGGGAGUCUUUUCCCCAUUGCUUGCUUUUGUCAGCUUUGUUGAAGAUCAGAUGCCUGUAGGUGUGAGGCCCUAUUUCUAAGCUCUCUAUUCCAUUUUAUUGGUCUAUGUGUCUAUUUUUGUACCAGUACCAUGCUGUUUUGGUUACUGUACCCCUGUAGUAUAGUUUCAAGUCAGGUAUUGUGAUGCCUCCAGCUUUGUUCUUUUAGUUUAGGAUUGCCUUGGUUAUUUGGGUUCUUUCUCAGGUCCAUAUGAGUUUUAAAAUAGUUUUUUCUAGUUCUGUGAAGAAUGUCAUGGUAGUUUCAUAGGAAUAGCAUUGAAUCUGUAAAUUUGGGGAAGCAGUAUGGCCACUUUAAUAAUACUAAUUCUUCCUAUCUAUGAGCAUGGAAUUUUUUUUCAUUUGAUAGGGUGGAGGGUGGGAGAAGGGAGAGGAGCAGAAAAAAUAACUAUUAGAUACUAGGCUUAGUACCUGGGUGAUGAAAUAAUCUUUACAAUGACCCCCAUGGCACGAGUUUACCUAUAUAACAAACCUGCACAUGUACCCCUGAACCUAAAAUAAAAGUUAAAAAAUA
rnacentral:lncRNA from 1 species